rnacentral:rRNA from 1 species
AGUGAACGCUGGCGGUAGGCCUAACACAUGCAAGUCGAACGGCAGCACAGUAAGAGCUUGCUCUUACGGGUGGCGAGUGGCGGACGGGUGAGGAAUACAUCGGAAUCUACUUUUUCGUGGGGGAUAACGUAGGGAAACUUACGCUAAUACUGCAUACGACCUACGGGUGAAAGCAGGGGAUCUUCGGACCUUGCGCGAUUGAAUGAGCCGAUGUCGGAUUAGCUAGUUGGCGGGGUAAAGGCCCACCAAGGCGACGAUCCGUAGCUGGUCUGAGAGGAUGAUCAGCCGCACUGGAACUGAGACACGGUCCAGACUCCUACGGGAGGCAGCAGUGGGGAAUAUUGGACAAUGGGCGCAAGCCUGAUCCAGCCAUACCGCGUGGGUGAAGAAGGCCUUCGGGUUGUAAAGCCCUUUUGUUGGGAAAGAAAAGCAGCAGGUUAAUACCCCGCUGUUCUGACGGUACCCAAAGAAUAAGCACCGGCUAACUUCGUG